GGAGAGGUGCCCGAGUGGUUGAAGGGAACGGUCUUGAAAACCGUCGAGCCGGCAACGGUUCCGAGAGUUCGAAUCUCUCUCUCUCCG
rfam:Candidatus Saccharibacteria bacterium GW2011_GWC2_44_17, complete genome.